ACAUACAUAUCAAUUUAAAUGAGUUUAUGUUGUCAACUGCAACUUACUCAUUUAAACAAUAAGAAAAAAAGUUGUUGCAUAAGCAUGCCUAUAAUACACCACAAACCAAACAAAAGAUAAACGAUAAGAAAAAUUAGGAAGUUUUCAUAGGACCACUGUACCUUUACCACAUACCUUGUGAUCUUGAAUCAGAUUAGUUCCACACCCUUCAUCAAAAUCAAACACACACAGUUCAACAUUGUAGGAAAAAAAAAGAGGUAAAAAGGACAAUUACUAAUUUAGAAGGCUUGAUCAUAUACUAUAAUAUUUACAAUUGAUGCUUAGAGUAAGGGAUAUGCAAUUCCACAUAAUCAACAAAGUCACCUAAAAUGUGCACACAAGAAUGCAACAUGUACCAUUUCUUCCAAUUCAACUAAGUCACUCUCAAAUUAGAUCUUUAUCUACUAUUUGCUUUAAUCUUCCCUCUAGACUAGAUGUAACUUCUUAACCUGAAAGUUAAUUUAAAGUGAUUCAAGUUAUCACAUAUGCUUAACUAAAACCUCUAACAUUACAAUCAACACAAGAAAAAGAACAUAACUUACUUACCCUCUAGCCCAUGGAGGUAUAGAGGAAUUGGAAGUACUAGCAGCCAAUUUUAUAGCUAGUUAAUAGACAUUAACAGAUGAAAGGUUUUGCAGUUUCCUUAGAAAAAGUGGACUAAAACAAUUGUCCUAUAUACUCAUGUACUUUCUAGUUCUCCAGAAAUCGUAAAUAAACAAUAGCAUUAUAAACGAGUAGUGUCUGAUUGUGUGUCAAUGACAAAGAUGUCAUAGAUGAGGUUGAAGGUAUGAAUCAAAAGAAAAGAAUUGAAACCAACAAUAAUGUGCUAAGGUAUAACAUAACAAGAAUUAUGCACCGAUUACCAUUUAACAUUAAAACAAAAAAGAUUCAUUCUUAACCAAUAGUCCAUAUCUCAAAUAAAAAAUAGUAGUUUUUUUAUGCUAGUUCAAUCAAAAUUGAACUACAACAUCAGCUAAACCCAAAAUAGGUCUAAGCAAACCUUAAAACACUGUAAAUCAUAGAAAAAGUAAGUUCCAAUUCAGUAGAAAAUUACCUUAUCAUACAACUUAAAGCAUAUAACUAUUUUUAAUAGUUAAAACCUCAUUCAUUUAUUGUCCUCUUUACCUGUUCAGUAGCU
rnacentral:lncRNA from 1 species